ACUGUGAAAAAAUCCUUCUCUCACCCUACAGAUACCUGUACGGAGAACUUGGGAGGCAUUUUUAUAAGCUCAUUGUCAAGUGAAUGUUAAAGUCCCCAUUCACUGAGAAGCAAAGGGUGAAGAAGUGAGACCCUACAUGGCUUUUUAGUGCAUUGAUGGAGCAGAGACACGUCUAUGAACAACUGCCUAUGCAAACUGAUUACUCGGCAGUAUAAUUUAUCAGUUUGUAUGAGUAAGUGAGUGCUUCUCACUAUGGAUUUAGCUUGCACUUCAAUUUAGAACUAGAAGGAAUAAGUGGAAAUCAGGAGAAAUAUUAAAGACAUUCCAGUGUCACUGAGCAUGCCGAAACCUGAAAACAUGUUCCAUUAUCUUGCUUUGGAUUUAUGGAAAUUCUGAACAGUGAUGUGAGAGUGACUACAGUUUGAAGUAUCUGUUAAAUACAGCAACAUGACAUCACAAGGAUUGUUUUGGAGUCUUCUGGAUAUGAGAACAUUAUAAAAGGAAAUGGCUCACAUAUUAUGGUGGCUAAGAAGUCCUACGAUCUGCUGUCUUCAAACUGGAGAACCAUAAAUGUCAAUGGUGUAAUUCAGUCUGAAUCUGAAGGCCUAAGAACCAAGAGAAAUGAUGGUAUAAUUCCUGGUCUGAAUCCAAAAGCAGGAGAAGAUGUCCC
rnacentral:lncRNA from 1 species